UACAGAGGGGGCAAGCGUUGUUCGGAAUUACUGGGCGUAAAGGGCGCGUAGGUGGCCUUCUAAGUCGAACGUGAAAUCCCUGGGCUCAACCCAGGAACUGCGUCCGAUACUGGAAGGCUUGAAUCCGGGAGAGGGAUGCGGAAUUCCAGGUGUAGCGGUGAAAUGCGUAGAUAUCUGGAGGAACACCGGUGGCGAAGGCGGCAUCCUGGACCGGCAUUGACGCUGAGGAGCGAAAGCCAGGGGAGCAAACGGGG
rnacentral:rRNA from 1 species